AACGAACGCUGGCGGCAGGCUUAACACAUGCAAGUCGAACGCAUCGCAAGAUAAGUGGCAGACGGGUGAGUAACGCGUGGGAACAUACCCUUUUCUACGGAAUAGCUCUGGGAAACUGGAAUUAAUACCGUAUACGCCCUACGGGGGAAAGAUUUAUCGGGGAAGGAUUGGCCCGCGUUGGAUUAGCUAGUUGGUGGGGUAAAGGCCUACCAAGGCGACGAUCCAUAGCUGGUCUGAGAGGAUGAUCAGCCACAUUGGGACUGAGACACGGCCCAGACUCCUACGGGAGGCAGCGGUGGGGAAUAUUGGACAAUGGGCGCAAGCCUGAUCCAGCCAUGCCGCGUGAGUGAUGAAGGCCUUAGGGUUGUAAAGCUCUUUCACCGAUGAAGAUAAUGACGGUAGUCGGAGAAGAAGCCCCGGCUAACUUCGUGCCAGCCGCCGCAGUAAUAC
rnacentral:rRNA from 1 species